UACGAGGGGGGCAAGCGUUGUUCGGAAUUACUGGGCGUAAAGGGCGCGUAGGCGGCAAUUCAAGUCAUCUGUGAAAUCUCCGGGCUUAACCCGGAACGGUCAGGUGAUACUGUUUUGCUAGAGUGCGGAAGGGGCAAUCGGAAUUCUCGGUGUAGCGGUGAAAUGCGUAGAUAUCGAGAGGAACACCUGAGGUGAAGACGGGUUGCUGGGCCGACACUGACGCUGACAGCGCGAAAGCCAGGGGAGCAAACGGG
rnacentral:rRNA from 1 species